GCGCCCGUAGCUCAGUUGGAUAGAGCGUCGGACUUCGAAUCCGAAAGUCGCAGGUUCAAGUCCUGCCGGGCGUA
rnacentral:tRNA from 1 species